UGCUGCUUACUGCUUACCGUAUUUGCUGCUUACUGUAUUUGCAGCUUACUGUAUAUGCAUAUACCGAAUUUGCAUAUAACUGUAUUUGCAGCUUACUGUAUAUGCAUAUACCGAAUUUGCAUAUACUGACCAAAAGUCUAUCCGAAACCCAAACUCUUGUAUAAAUUCACCAAAUGACAUUAUAAUGUUACUUUUCAUAUCCACUUUUGUAUUUUAUUCCAAUGAAAAAUUAAUCAAAAGCCACCACAAACUGUUUUUCAUUGCAUUUAAAAUGAAAAGUUACACGUAUUCCAUAAUUUCAAUAUUAAUGGUCAGAAUUUAACCUCCAGCAUGAAUUACAUUAAACAUAUAUUUAUAAAUCUUUAUAUCACAUGCAAUAAUUUGGAGACCCUACCACUUCCAAAUUAAUUCAUAAUACGUGUAUAAUUUCAUGACAGUUACAACAUUAUUAAAUUCACAAUUAAUAUUCUUGGACAUAACCCAGUCUGAACAUGUUUUCUCAAUCAAGCAAUUUUCAUUUAAAAGGCAUAAUCAUGAAGGUUCAUGUUGGCAUCCUUACAUGACCAACGAUUAGAGCAUUUUUCUCCUUCUAUCCAUUCGUUGUUUGGCUUGAACUAGUCUCAACGCCCAGAAAUUUAUCACAUUCAAAGUGAAGAAGGAAUAACAACGAACAUAGGAAUGUCAAUGUUCUGUGCCAUAGCCAUAUUGGCAAUCAACAAGAAUUGCCAUUACCACAAUUAAUUAAACAAUGGCUAACACCGGUAUCAUGUAAUUCCACAUCAAUUUGGAGAUGAAAGAUAGUCACCUAUUUUGAGACUUGUUUCCAUGUGCAAAUGCAUAUGCGGCAUGUUUUCAUACCAUUUUAAUGAAAUCGACAUAACUCUCUAUUCAAUGGCAUCCAUGCUGUCAACCAUAUUCACAAUACCAAACAUAAUUUCAUAAAUCAAAAUGGUCAAUGAAAGAAAAUAUGACAUUCCAAUAAUAUUAUGUAGUGAACUGAAUAAAAUUCCAGGAAUUUAAUGACUUUUGCAUUAAAACCAUUAAUCUUAAAUAUAGAAGAACCAUUUGAAUUAAAAGGUACCAGCAAACGAAAUUGGCAAAUGAAACUGCCAACUAUGGACGAAUUCAAUGGCAGUUGGUAAGAAGGAUUUUAUCCAUUAGCCACUUUUUUUACUUCAUCUACCAACAAAUUAAUAUAAAUAUGCCUCUUUUCUUUUUUUCCUUUGUAUAAACAUCAAUAGGCUAUUAAAUUGAGACAGUUACAUCGUAUUAAACUCACAAUUUUUCAUCUUAAUCUAAUCAGUACGAUUAUACUUCCAUUUAAACGUUACAAUUUCGCACUGUCAUUGCAUGAUUCACACGUUUAUUGUAGAAUAUGCACAAGAUUAAUUACCAAUUUCAUCCUGUAAAGUGCCACUAGUUUCCAAUAAUAUAAAAUGCACUAUAUGGGGCAAAUUUAUCUUAAGAUUGUUGGAAAAUGUUCACCGAUUAUUGUGCAUAUUAUAUUCACUAAAAGCAUACCAUUUAUUUGCGUGAAAUCGAAACAUAAUUUCGACUUAUCGGAAUGGAUAAUUUACCGAUUCUGAAUGUAUGAAUCUGGAUUCAUUUUCUUUCCAUCCUUGAGUGAAAACACAUCAUUCUUUGGAUCGAACCUUGCAAUAUAAAUAUAUAAAUCAGAUUAAUAAUAAAAAGAAAUCAGAAAAUAAAGUGAGAAGAUGCAAGUGAUGGAUUUUGGCCGAGGCAAAUCUUGAACACUUUGUCCUUAAAAUGAAUUUGCCAAGCAUCGGCGCUAACGAUUUUCGGGCAAUCAUCUCCCAAGAUACAAUAAUCAUGUCAAGCCAUAGGAGCACUUCAAAUGGCUUCGACCAAUGAACUCGAACGGAGUUCCUUCUCUACUAUGACCAUGAUUUUGAUGCAAAAUGAAAUCACUUCUAUGAAGUGUUUUAUGCAACAUGACAUGAAAAAAUAAUUUAUAUGAUG
rnacentral:lncRNA from 1 species